GGGGUGACUAGUGACAGAGUGAGAGAGGGGGGUGACACAGUGACAGAGUGAGGGAGGGGGGUGACUAGUGACAGAGUGAAGGAGGUGGUGACUGUCACUAGUCACCCCAUCCCUCCCUCUGUCACUAGUCACCCCCUUCCCUACCUCACUCUGUCACUAGUCACCCAAUUCCCUCCCUCACUCUGUCACUAGUCACACCCUCCCUCACUCUGUCACUAGUCACACCC